rnacentral:rRNA from 1 species
AUACGUAGGGUGCGAGCGUUGUCCGGAAUUACUGGGCGUAAAGAGCUCGUAGGUGGUUUGUCGCGUCGUCUGUGAAAUUCCGGGGCUUAACUCCGGGCGUGCAGGCGAUACGGGCAUAACUUGAGUACUGUAGGGGAGACUGGAAUUCCUGGUGUAGCGGUGAAAUGCGCAGAUAUCAGGAGGAACACCGGUGGCGAAGGCGGGUCGCUGGGCAGUAACUGACGCUGAGGAGCGAAAGCAUGGGUAGCGAACAGGAUUAGAUACCCUGGUAUUCCAUGCCGUAAACGGUGGGCGCUAGGUGUAGGGGUCUUCCACGACUUCUGUGCCGUAGCUAACGCAUUAAGCGCCCCGCCUGGGGAGUACGGCCGCAAGGCUAAAACUCAAAUGAAUUGACGGGG